CUGGCUAGUAAGUACCGAGGGCUUCAUCUAUCUAAAAUGAGUCAUUUCCAUCUGAAUGUGACAGCACCGGGACACAGCAGCAGAGCGGUAAGCUUCAUAUCACUCUAAAAUGUCGACAAACUUUACUUUAAGUUUACGGGCAUUAGCAGCACUAAAGCGUUAGCAUCCGGCUUGCUAUCGCUAGCACAGUAUGCUAGUAAAGUUAGCACCCAGAUUAAUGUGGAUUUGGCUGAUUUUCGUGGAAUAAAACGUGAUUUCUGAUCAACGCCUUCUUUUACACCAGAUGUACAUCCACUGAUUGUAGCAGCAGAGAGCCUGUGUGUUAUUUUACUUGAGUGUGAUGUAAUCUUAGCAUCCAGUAAAUAAAGUCCCAUAUCAGCUAAAAUGCAGCGUGACAAAGUCAUUAAAGUGCGUCAACACAGUGGAUUUAAUAGAGUUUUAAAGAACAAUCUCUGAGUGAAGUGAGGUUAGUUUUUUGUCUCACUGCAGAUAUAAAAACGAACUCUGCAUCAGUCAGACGCAGAAAAGCUCACCGUCUGUAUGAGCGUGAGCAUCGGAAAGCUGAUCAAAUCAGCUGUAAAAUAAUUAAAACAAAGUAAAAAUGUUCCUUUGCUUUUUACAGUCCACAUCCAGAAGACUGGAGCCGUGUUUCACUGACAGGCUGUCAGACUAACGCCCUGAUGAGCUCAGCUGGGACAAACUGGUCUGAUGUUUAGGAACACAGAACGCUCAGAUGUUGGAGCUCACGUCACAUACUGAGGAAGGAGACCCACCAGUAAAGAGACGGUCUGGACCAGACCAAAAAUAUGGCGAUGACAUCAUGGAACUGGUCUUUGGAAAAGUUUUCCCUGAACCAACUCCGUUUCUAGAUUAGGUAGAGAAGAUCUGCAUCUCACCAACUCUCUGGUCUCAGUAUUCAGACAACGGAGGUCUCCCACUGUUAUCCAGGACCAGUUUGAAGCCCGCAUACUGCCCCUCCCUCAUCAUCAGGAAACAUCAAUCCGUAUCCUGAGGACAACAGAAGACGGCAGGAGGACAGGAACUCUGAGAACUAGAUACCACAGCACCGGGACACAAAGCACCUGUGUGCACAACGCCUGUUUAACUACUAAAACCUGUUUAUUAUAUUGUUCUACUUAUUUGCUGUGAGGUUAAUACUUAGAAAAUUUGUAUUUUAAUGUAAACAAUAAAAAAUCACUGAUUGUAUGUUUUCUUUUAGAUGUAAUGGUCCAAACUCCACCUUGUAGACAUUUAUUGCAUCCUGUAGGUAAAUACACAGAACAGGCUCAGAUCCAGGAUGACCCAGCAUGCUCUUCUUCCAUUCUGGCUGUUAGGGAUUGUAUCAAUAACUCAAUGCCUAAUGAUGUUUCCACCUAACGGUAUUUAUUUAGAAUGCAGGUAAGAUUUAACUAUAUUUGUUAGCAAAGCAGACUGAUCUUGGGAAUUUCACUGCAGCACUGAUGUCCACCUCUCUGUACACAUUAGAGAGAAUUACCACUUUACAGCUAAACACAUUUAAUAAAGAUAUAGGGUACACAUUGCAGACAAUAAAAACAAAGUUCUAAGCAUUAGAAUUAUAAUCACAUUAAAGAACAUUUGGAGGAAUGUUCUUUAUUUUUGACUAGAAUCUCAAAUCUUUAAAUUAAAAUGUAACUGCUUUUUAUCCAUUUUCAGCCAUUAAGACACCCAAUAUUAAAUAAGACUACUUAUAAAAUUAUUUAUAAUUAUAUGUAUGUAUAUAUAUAUAGAUAGAGAUCUUAAUAACAUAUAUUUUUAAUGGUGUUUUAAUGAGCUGUAUCAUUUUUUAAAACAUUUUUAUAGAAAUAAAUAAGCAAGCAGCAUUCCUUGUGUGUGUGCGCGUGCGCGUGCCUGCUCGCUUGUCCCGUCGGCCGUGACGGAUGUGUGUGUGUGACUACAGACAAAUGCAUGAGAGAGUUAGCAGCCUUGAAACAGCUUGAUUAACUAUUCUCCCCACAUGUUUUAAAAAUGCUAAUAUGCUAUGCUAAAUCUGCUAUGCUAAAUAAUGAUUUCUCUAUAGAACUACAAAGUUCGGCUGGGGGAGGAGAGUACAGGUCUGCACUAUGGAGGGGGGCGGAGUUUACAGCUCGUCCUCCAGUUUAAAAAGACAGUACCCAAAAACGGCUCGUUCUCAAGACUCUCCUCAGAACAGGGGUAAAUGAGGGUCUGUAGAGCAACAAUAAUGAGGAAAUCAGACCAAAGAACUGCAGUUCCACUGUAUUUAGACCCCCAACUGAAGGAUUUAGAUGUAAAAAGGAAUAACUUAAAAGCAUGUUAUGUCUCCUUUAAAGAAGUAGUCCAGUUACACCUUUGUGGGCUUAUAACUUGGCUUCUGAAUGUCCUAGAGAGGUUAGGUUUGUUUUAGUGUACUCCAAUCAAAAGCCCCUACAACCACAAAAAGGAAUGGAAUCAUUAGCACUUAUGGUUUUUAAAUGGCACCCAGAAUUAUGUUGCACGAAGCACAAUUUCACAUCAUUGUGGGUUCAUUUGUGUGAAAACAAGGUCCAAUCAGGCUGAAACGUUACAGGAAGGUAGAAUCUAUUGAGUUGUAAGUGAUCUGAACGUUUCAUGAUGAUAGCACUUUCCUAAGGGGGUCAAACCAUGUCCCAAAGGUCACCGGAUCUGGUGUCAAUUUAAAGAAGUAGUCCAGUUACACCUUUGUGGGCUUAUAACUUGGCUUCUGAAUGUCCUAGAGAGAUCAGGUUUGUUUUAGUGUACUCCAAUCUACAUCCCCUACAACCUCAAAAAGGAAUGGAGUCAUUAGCACUUAUGGUUUGUAAAUGGCACCCAGAAUUAUGUUACACGAAGCACAAUUUCACGUCAUUCUGGGUUCAUUUGUGUGAAAACAAGGUCCAAUCAGGCUGAAACGUUACAGGAAGGUAGAAUCCAUUGAGUUGUAAGUGAUCUGAACGUUUCAUGAUGAUAGCACUUUCCUAAGGGGGUCAAACCGUGUCCCAAAGGUCACCGGGCCUGGUGUCACUUUAAAGAAGUAGUCCAGUUACACCUUUGUGGGCUUAUAACUUGGCUUCUGAAUGUCCUAGAGAGAUCAGGUUUGUUUUAGUGUACUCCAAUCAACAUCCCCUACAACCUCAAAAAGGAAUGGAGUCAUUAGCACUUAUGGUUUUUAAAUGGCACCCAGAAUUAUACUGCACUAAGCACAAUUUCACAUCAUUCUGGGUUCAUUUGUGUGAAAACAAGGUCCAAUCAGGCUGAAACAUUACAGGAAGGUAGAAUCUAUUGAGUUGUAAGUGAUCUGAACGUUUCAAAAUGAUAGCACUUUCCUAAGAGGGUCAAACCAUGUCCCAAAGGUCACCGGAUCUGGUGUCAAUUUAAAGAAGUAGUCCAGUUACACCUUUGUGGGCUUAUAACUUGGCUUCUGAAUGUCCUAGAGAGGUUAGGUUUGUUUUAGUGUACUCCAAUCAAAAGCCCCUACAACCACAAAAAGGAAUGGAGUCAUUAGCACUUAUGGUUUGUAAAUGGCACCCAGAAUUAUGUUACACGAAGCACAAUUUCAUAUCAUUCUGGGUUCAUUUGUGUGAAAACAAGGUCCAAUCAGGCUGAAA